rnacentral:rRNA from 1 species
CACGUAGGGCGCAAGCGUUGUCCGGAAUUAUUGGGCGUAAAGCGCGUGUAGGCGGUGAUGUAUGUCGGGUGUGAAAGCCCUCAGCUUAACUGAGGAAGUGCGCCCGAAACUACAUCGCUAGAGUGCCGGAGGGGGUGGCGGAAUUCCCGGUGUAGAGGUGAAAUGCGUAGAUAUCGGGAGGAACACCAGUGGCGAAGGCGACUACCUGGCCCAUUCUUGACGCUGAGGCGCGAAAGCUAGGGGAGCGAACGGG